AUGCCAUAUAGAAUUUCUCACUACUUCCGCGAUUUCAGCUAAUGGUAAUCAAAGGUUUAUUAUCUGACUUUCUGCCAUGCAGCAAAAUCCUUGUACUGUAGGAACCAUGGCUUCUUGUUUCAGGUAUUUUGAUGCUUUCACAUCUGGGACAGUGUUAUCACUGGAGGGAUGACCUCUUUAGGGUUACGUAAUUCCCACAAAUAACAAACCACUCCUAGUUCCCUUCAUAUGCAAGCCAACCAGUACAGAGGCGGCACCUUAGAUCACCUCCUCUAGCAGGCUCAAGACCAUUUCUAAUCACUCAAAGCCAGGUACCAAACAGCCAGGGACAGCUCUGCUCCCCCAAGCCUGCUGAACUUACCGAAACCUAAAUGUUCUGCCCUGUGCUGCUCCUCAUAGAAACCACAUUAAAGACUCUUGCCUACAUUUUCACCAGCUCCCUCUGCCUUCUGACACACCCCAGUGCUUCCAUGUGGCCCGAUGGAGAGGCCUGUCCCCUCCUCAUGGGAUAUGAGUGACUUCGAGGCAGGAGACGUCACUUCCCACUUCCGGAUCUGAGAAGUGCUCGUGUUUGCAUAUCAAGCAGUUUGCCAUUUUCCUGAAUGCGGUGUUUUGGUCUCAGUAUCCAUUCUUGUGAUAGUCGAAAUCUUCAUCAACUGAGCCAUUUUCUCCAAGUGCCAAAAAGCAAGUGUUUUUGUUCCUUCAGAUUUCUGUAUCAUUGGAAUUUCUAGCUCCUGAGGAAGAUUGCCAUUAGUACAUGGCCCACCUUCUUUAGUGGGCAUUUACACUCAGGGCCUCUAUCUACCAUUUCCAAUCACGCAAAAGUAGGUACCAGACAACUAUGGAUGGCUCUCUGCUGAACUUAUUGAAAUGAAUCCUAUUCAAACUAAGCCAUUCUAAACCUGCUACCCUGGGUUCGAGUUGUUUGAGAGACAAAAUGAAACUUUUUCUUGUUUGUUUGUGUUUGAGACGUCUCGCUCUGUCAUCCAGACUGGAGUGCAGUGGUGCAAUCUCAGCUCACUGCAACCUCUACCUCCUGGGCUCAAGUGAUUCUCCUGCCUCACCCUCCUGAGUAGCUGAGAUUAUAGGCACACAUCACCACACCCAGCUACUUUUUAGUAGAGACAGGGUUUCACCAUGUUGGUCAGGCUGGUCUCGAACUUUUGACCUUGUGAUCCGCCCAUCUCAGCCUCUCAAAGUGCUGGGAUAACAGGCAUGAGCCACCACUCCUGGCCUAAAAUGAAACUCUUAAGGCCACACUCUAGGUAAAAUGAAAACUCUGUAGCAUGCACCCAAUAAAAUGAACUUUACAUCUGUAAGACCA
rnacentral:lncRNA from 13 species